GUGUGUAGCUCAGCUGGAUAGAGUACCUGGCUACGAACCAGGCGGUCGGAGGUUCGAAUCCUUCCACA
rnacentral:tRNA from 2 species